UAAGGGGUGCCCUAAUAUGACGGGCUGAGAACAUACCCAUUGACCUGAUUCGGGUAGUGCCGACGUAGGGAAAAGAAGAA
rnacentral:ncRNA from 1 species